rnacentral:sRNA from 1 species
GGCCUGCUGCGGACAGAUGAAGUGGAUGUGGGUGUCGAUGCCCCCGGCGGUCAGGAUCUUGCCCUCGCCGGCGAUCACCUCGGUCGUGACACCCACCACCAUCGAGUCGUCGACUCCGGCCAUCACGUCGGGAUUGCCGGCCUUGCCGAUGCCGACGAUGCGGCCGUCCUUGACGCCGACAUCAGCCUUGAAGAUGCCGGUGUAAUCGACGACCAGCGCGUUGGUGAUCAACAGGUCCAGCGCGUCGGCCUGCGAGACUCCGGCGGCCUGGCCCAUGCCCUCGCG